UACAGCCACAUCACGUUGAAACACCGGUUCCCGUACGAUCACCGAAGUUAAGCAACGUCGGACUUGGUCAGUACCUAGAUGGGUGACGGCUUGGGAAUGCCAAAUGCUGUAAG